UACAGAGGUCCCAAGCGUUGUUCGGAUUCACUGGGCGUAAAGGGUGCGUAGGCGGCGCGGUAAGUCGGGUGUGAAAUCUUGGAGCUUAACUCCGAAACUGCAUUCGAUACUGCCGUGCUUUGAGGACUGGAGAGGAGACUGGAAUUUACGGUGUAGCGGUGAAAUGCGUAGAUAUCGUAAGGAAGACCAGUGGCGAAGGCGGGUCUCUGGACAGUUCCUGACGCUGAGGCACGAAGGCCAGGGGAGCAAACGGG
rnacentral:rRNA from 1 species